rnacentral:rRNA from 1 species
AAUGAGCGCUGGCGGCAGGCCUAAAACAUGCAAGUCGAACGCUCUAGCAAUAGAGAGUGGCGCACGGGUGCGUAACACGUGGGAAUAUGCCUUUUGGUACGGAACAACGUUUGGAAACGAACGCUAAUACCGUAUGGUCCCUUCGGGGUAAAGAGUUAUCGCCAAAAGAUUAGCCCGCGCUGGAUUAGCUAGUUGGUGAGGUAAUGGCUCACCAAGGCGACGAUCCAUAGCUGGUCUGAGAGGACGAUCAGCCACACUGGGACUGAGACACGGCCCAGACUCCUACGGGAGGCAGCAGUUAGGAAUAUUGGACAAUGGGCGCAAGCCUGAUCCAGGCAUGCCGCGUGAGUGAUGAAGGCCUUCGGGUUGUAAAGCUCUUUAGCCGAUGAUUAUAAUGACUGUAGUCGGAGAAUAAGCCCCGGCUAACUUCGUGCCAGCCGCCGCCGUAA